AUAUAAACCCGAUUGAAAUGAAAAGCCCCAAUUUUUCAUUGGGCUUGCAAUGCAAAGCGGGACAAACC
rnacentral:sRNA from 1 species